rnacentral:rRNA from 1 species
ACCUGCCCGCUGAAUAUUGAAUGGCCGCGGUAUUUUGACCGUGCAAAGGUAGCAUAAUAAUUAGUUUUUUGAUUGAAAGCUGGAAUGAAUGGUUGGACGAGAAAAUUACUGUCUCCGAUUAAUUUUUUAUAAAAUUUUAUUUUUAAGUUAAAAAGCUUAAAUUAAAUUAAAAGACGAGAAGACCCUAUAGAGUUUAAUAUUUUAUUGGAAAUUUAAUUUUAGGAAUUUUAAUUUUGUUUUUAUAUGAAUAUUUUAUUGGGGUGAUAAAAAGAUUAAUUAAACUCUUUUUUUAUUAAAACAUUUAUAAAUGAAUAUUUGAUCCAAUAUUUUUGAUUAAAAGAAUAAAUUACCUUAGGGAUAACAGCGUAAUCUUUUUAGAGAGUUCUUAUCGAAACAAAGGAUUGCGACCUCGAUGUUGGAUUAAAGUUAAUUUUUGGUGUAGAAGCUAAAAAUAUUGAGUCUGUUCGACUUUUAAAACUUUACAUGAUCUGAGUUUAAACCGGUGUGAGCCAGGUUGGUUUCUAUCUUUAUUAAAAUAUAAUAUUUUAGUACGAA